rnacentral:rRNA from 1 species
UACAGAGGGGGCAAGCGUUGUUCGGAAUUACUGGGCGUAAAGGGCGCGUAGGCGGCCUGUUAAGUCGAACGUGAAAUCCCCGGGCUCAACCCGGGAACUGCGUCCGAUACUGGCAGGCUUGAAUCCGGGAGAGGGAUGCGGAAUUCCAGGUGUAGCGGUGAAAUGCGUAGAUAUCUGGAGGAACACCGGUGGCGAAGGCGGCAUCCUGGACCGGCAUUGACGCUGGAGGCGCGAAAGCCCAGGGGAGCAAAACGGGG